CAGCCCUCUCGCUGGAGCUGCAGGUGCGCAGAGGGUAGGAGAGGCUGCAUGUGCCCCUGCCUUAAGAGCAUCAGGUGUGGUGUAGGAUUGACUGACUUGCAGAAACCUUGGACAAAGGACUUCCCCACUCUGUGCUUUUUCAUCUGUUAAAUUGGGAUGACAGAGUCCUCAUAGCUCCUAGAAGCGCUGUGAGCUAACCCACAAAAGGCACUCACUCAGCUUUGCGCCUGUGAUGUCAGAAAGCAGUUGCCGCUAAGCGCCACGUGACCGUGAACUUCCUGAGAGCAGGGGCGUUGUUUUCUUCCUCUGGCUGGGGUGGAGCUGGCCUCCAGAACACUUCAGAAAGACCCGGCGAUGACCAAGGGCAUCGGCUUUAGAAUCAGACUGAUGUGAGUUCGAAUCUUGGCGACCUUCUCUCUGUGACCUUGAGCAAGCAUCUGAGCGCUCUGAGCUUUGGCCUCCUGUCUUUAACAUGGGGCUCCGCCAUGGCUCUCAGUGUUCCUCAGGGUCACACUGAAGGACGCAGUGGAGAGAGAGCAUUCAGCAGGGCGCCUGGCACAAGCUUCACAACAACCCAGAAGGCAGCUGCUGGAAGAAUCUCCAUUUUAGAGAUGAGGAAACUGAGGUUUAAAGAGGUAUGUAAUAGCCCCAAAUCAUAAAGCUACUACUUGAGCAGAGAAUCAGGGGUGUUGGUCCUUGCUGGAGGAAUCCAGCGUGGGGAACCUGACCGGAGGCCCUCUGAGGCCCUCUGAUAGCAUCCCCUCCUUUAAAAGCAAAACUGAAGGGUCACGACCAAAAUUAUUCUGCUGGUGAGUGGUGGAGUUGCAGGUGGGGCCUGGGGAGUCCGAGGGUCAGGAAAAAAGCAAGCGUCACGUCUGGGGAGUAAACUGGUACCCUUCCCAGUGUAUCCGGUUCCGCUCACUGAGUUACUGCACAAGGAGAGCUAGUUACUUCCUGGUGACAGUCGACUGACAUCAGGUUAAUUUUGGAUUCCUAUUGGCAGGACCUAAAAGAAAAUCUCCCUCACUUUCUUAGCGUGCUGUCUUCUUUUUGCCCUAAGGCAGAACUGGUCCCCUGGUCUGAAACUUUCCAGAACUCAUUUUAGUUCAAAUAAGAACCAAGCUGAUUCAUCUCCAUAAGGCACAAGGCUGUCAGUCUUACCUUCCUAAAACACCUGACGCUCCCUCCUCAGAAGCCUGCCAUGGCUCCCCAGUACCUACAGAUUAACAGCCAACCUCCUCUACGUCCAUCCCCAAGUGUGGCGGCAUCUCUUUGCACAACCUUCCCUGCAUCCCCCUCUCCAUCUCCCCAGAAUACACACAGCUCUCAGGACGCAGUUUUAACUUCAUCAGGAGUAACCUCCUCUUCUCAUCUGAGGCCACUAACGCCUUAUCUGCCAACUCAACAACCGUUUCUCCAUUCACCCCUUUUGCCUUACAUGCUGAACCCCAGUUUGCUCGUGGCAGUGAUGUGCCUAACUAAAAACACGGCAUUGCCCCUUCCUGGUAGGGUUGGGUGGCCAUGUGGCACAGUUCUGGUUGAGCUAAGGGCAGAAGUCCCUGAGAGGGGUGUCCCUUUCCAAAUGUAACAGUAAAGCCACACUAGGUAAAUGCUCUUUGUGCCUCACUCAUCCUACUUCCCCUUUCCUGGUAUGCAGAUGUGAGGCCUGGAGAUGCAGCAGGCCUUCCUACCACGAGAUGAUAGACCUGGGGCCAAAGGCCUAUACUCUAAGGGUGGCAGAGUAGAAAGACAGAGCCUGGGUCCCCAGCGGUACAGCUGAGGCAUUGUCCCACCCACUUUCUUGCUGUCUGACACAAAUAAGCCCCCAUCUGGUUAAGUCACCGGUGGGCAGGAUUUCUGUUGCUAACAGGUGAGUUCAAUGAUACCCGACACACCGCCAGACAUUGUUCCUCCUCAGUCAUGGGUCAGUUCUGAUGCUACCCCCUCUGAGAAAUCCUCCAUGGGUCCCUCAGAGCACAAGAACUGCACCCUUCAUCGUACUUCCACAGUAGUUACUUUUCUCAAUUCUAGCACCUAGUUAAUCCUGCUUUAUUUGGCCUGCUGGCUGCUCAAAUUCCUAGAGGGUAAGGCGUCUUGGUCUCACUGACGUCUCCAUAGUGUCUGGAGCAGUGCUUUGCAUCGAGGUUAGAUAGAUGCUCUAUCUCAGCAGCGCCUCUAUAACGUGUGGAGCAGCGCAUUGUCUGCAAACGUGGAGUGUGCAUGUUCUGGGGUCUGGCACUCUGCUUGCUAGCUGUUUGGUCUUGGGCAAGUUAGAGAACCUCUCCGUGCCCGUUUCCUCAUCUAUAAAAAGGAGAGGAUGACAGUACUUUACCCCGCAGGGUUGUCACGAAGACAACACAGUUUAAUCCUAAGCGCUUAGAACGGUCUCUGGCAUGUAAAACUGCUUAAUGACUCUAGGCUUUUAUUAGCGUGAUGAACAUUUCAGUUGCGGAGUGAACAAAUAAAUCAACACACAGCUGCGAAAUAAAUGAAUUAAGAGAUGAAAACUAGGAAAAUUCCUGAGUUCGGACCACUGGGCCAUGGUCACUCUUCCCUCUUUUCUGCCUUUACUUUUCAUUCUAACUACAACUUCCCAUAUCUGGGGAGCUGCUAUACUGGAGUGUUGUAAGGCUUGGCUUCAAACAUGGAAUUUGAUUUUUGCCAUGCGGCUUUGGGUCAGUUUGUUUCACCUCUCUGAGCUUAAGUUUCUUCCCCACUAAGCUUGGGAUAAUAAUAGUAUGUAUCUCAUAGGGUUACGGUGAGAAUUAAAUGAUAAAGCAUGUAAAAUAUACAGCAUUAUGCCCGGCAUACUGAAACAGUGUCAGCAAUUGUUAUCAAACACCGUCAUUAUUGUGUUUGUCAAAUGCAUGGCAUCCCACUGAAUCACAUGGUCCUGAUGUGGAUGGGAUGCUUGGGGUGGGGUCGCCUUUUGGCAUGUCAAGGUACACUGCAUUUACAUUGGGAGAAUACUUUUCUUGAGUGCCAACGAACAUUUGUGGCAUUUUGAUUUUUUUUCCUUUAAACAGGGAUUAGCUAAUAUAUCCGAUUUACCCCAGAACGUUGGCCUCCAAAUUUUCCCCUUAAAAGCUGUUAACUUCAAGUGGAUCCUUAGUUGACACCAAACCUGGCCGCAAGGUACGCGUGCACAUGAGAACAAUCGCAAAGAAGAGUGUUUAAACAGCAAUGAUAUUCCCACAGAUCGCGGAUCCAGUCAUUGUCGGUGACGCAUUUCAAUCUUACUUGUAGAUUUCCCGCCUUUGGCCUUAAAAGAUGUGUAUACAGCUUGAUAUAACUUUCCCUUUAAACUGAAACCGUUAUGUUAGCCCCAUUCAAGCACUUGGCGGCUCCAUUAAUCUAUUUUUACCAUUAAACGUGCCAUUUUACAAGAUAUUUAUUCCACUUGGUUGUCAUCCAAAUGCUUUUUGACAUCACUGCCCCGGGACUCAAGUUCUUUAACUGCCCUCAUAAAUAGAAAAUCCCCUUUUGACGGAAAUCUUGAAGAGCUCUCUGAACCUCACUCUCUUCACUUCAACAGGCAUUAAUUUCUGCUCUACAUAAAGGAGAGUGUGUGUGUGUGUGUGUGUGUUUUAAGAGGGUAACUGUGGGAGGUCUGAGCGACCCAAGGGAUGAAGGGGAGGGAUGCCUGCUCCCCAAAUCCUGCCCAGCUGGGCCUGCCUCAGACUUGGGGAGCUGCUAACUUGGAGGCAGAAGGCGAUCAUCAGGGAGCAGGUAGGACAGAAUUCUAGGGCCUGAAGAGACUUGGAGAUCCCUGGGGCCCAAGCUGGGCAGCGACACUUUCAAAGGGGAGGGGUCCAGGGAAAGUCAUUAUUUCCUCACCUUCCUCCUCCCUCACCUCCCAGACAAACAAAAGGCCAUCGCGGCAAUAGCUGAAGGCAGAGACCCCACUGGCUUUGAAGCCGAUCCAUCAGGUGGAAGCCUGAGCAAAUCACAACUUGGCUUCCCCGGCAAGUUUUCUCCGCAGCCUAACACACCACCCUCCUCCUCCCGGUCGUGCGCCGCCGCCUCCCGAGCUCCGCACAGCGACGAGGCCGAGGGGACGGUGCUGUGAUGCUCACUGGUUUCCAACUUUCCGCUCCUUUUCCAGCCUCCUGCAAAGCGGCUGGGAAAGGGGCAAGUUUGCAAAGGCGAAGAUACCAAGUCCUGGGGACGCCACAAAGGAGCCGCAACACCAACAAAGAUGAACCUCUCGUGGGGCAGACGAAAAGCCCCAGCUGCCGUUCCGGGGGGCGAUCGUGGGCUUGGGCGGGCUGCGGGCGCGGGCCCGCGGGCGGCGGGCAGCCGGGCCCGGGGGUCCCCAGGGUCCCCCGCCGCCCCUCCCCACGCGGGUUUCCCGGCACCUGAGCGGGGCGUGGGGACAGCGCCGCACUCCGGCCCGGCCCCCGGCAGGUAGCUGGGGCGGCCGCCCGCCCGCGCCGCGCGCCUGCUGCCUGCAGCCACCAGGAGCGCGGAGAGGAGAGGCAGCCUCAACCCACGGCGUCAUGCUUCCUGCCACCACAUUACGGCGAAUCGUCACCGGGAGAGGGGAGAA